CUACCCAGGUAUCUAAUCCUGUUUGCUACCCACGCUUUCGCACCUCAGUGUCAGUGUCAGUCCAGAAGGCCGCCUUCGCCACUGGUAUUCCUCCCGAUCUCUACGCAUUUCACCGCUACACCGGGAAUUCCACCUUCCUCUCCUGCACUCUAGCCUGACAGUUCCGGAUGCCGUUCCCAGGUUGAGCCCGGGGCUUUCACAACCGGCUUAUCACGCCACCUACGCGCGCUUUACGCCCAGUAAUUCCGAUUAACGCUUGCACCCUCCGUAUUAACGCGGCGGCUGGAA
rnacentral:rRNA from 1 species